rnacentral:rRNA from 1 species
UGGGGAAUAUUGCACAAUGGGCGAAAGCCUGAUGCAGCAACGCCGCGUGAAGGAUGAAGGCCUUUGGGUCGUAAACUUCUGUCCUUGGGGAAGAAAAAAAUGACGGUACCCCUGGAGGAAGUCCCGGCUAACUACGUGCCAGCAGCCGCGGUAAUACGUAGGGGGCGAGCGUUAUCCGGAAUUAUUGGGCGUAAAGAGUACGUAGGUGGUUUUUUAAGCGCAGGGUUUAAGGCGAUGGCUCAACUGUCGUUCGCCCUGUGAACUGGAAGACUUGAGUACAGGAGAGGAAAGCGGAAUUCCUAGUGUAGCGGUGAAAUGCGUAGAUAUCUGGAAGAACACCAGUGGCGAAGGCGGCUCUCUGGCCUAGGACUGACGCUGAAGCGCGAAAGCGUGGGGAGCGAACA